rnacentral:rRNA from 1 species
UACGUAGGGGGCAAGCGUUGUCCGGAUUUAUUGGGCGUAAAGCGCACGUAGGCGGAUCGCUAAGUCAGGGGUGAAAUCCUGGAGCUCAACUCCAGAACUGCCUUUGAUACUGGCAAUCUCGAGUCCGGGAGAGGUGAGUGGAACUGCGAGUGUAGAGGUGAAAUUCGUAGAUAUUCGCAAGAACACCAGUGGCGAAGGCGGCUCACUGGCCCGGUACUGACGCUGAGGUGCGAAAGCGUGGGGAGCAAACAGG